UGGAGUCGCACAGACAACCAGGAGGUUGGCUUAGAAGCAGCCACCCUUGAAAGAGUGCGUAAUAGCUCACUGGUCUAGUGAUUCCGCGCCGACAAUGUAGCGGGGCUCAAGCGUACCGCCGAAGUCGUGUCAUUGCGAUAUAUACCCCCAACGGGGAUCGUGAUGGGUAGGGGAGCGUCGUGUGCCGGGUGAAGCAGCACCGGAAGGUAGUUGUGGACGGUUCACGAGUGAGAAUGCAGGCAUGAGUAGCGAUUCACACGUGAGAAACGUGUGCGCCGAUUGACUAAGGGUUCCUGGGUCAAGCUGAUCUGCCCAGGGUAACGUCGGGACCUAAGGCGAGGCCGACAGGCGUAGUCGAUGGAUAACCGGUUGAUACGUUCCGGUACCGCUGGUGAAGCGUACAAACAUCGA
rnacentral:ncRNA from 1 species